UACGUAGGGUGCGAGCGUUGUCCGGAAUUACUGGGCGUAAAGAGCUCGUAGGCGGUGUGUCGCGUCGGCCGUGAAAACCUGCAGCUUAACUGUGGGCGUGCGGUCGAUACGGGCAUCACUGGAGUUCGGCAGGGGAGACUGGAAUUCCUGGUGUAGCGGUGAAAUGCGCAGAUAUCAGGAGGAACACCGGUGGCGAAGGCGGCUCACUGGACCGGUUCUGACGCUGAUGCGCGAAAGCGUGGGAGCAAACGGG
rnacentral:rRNA from 1 species